GACGAACGCUGGCGGCGUGCCUAAUACAUGCAAGUCGAACGCAGUGGGGACGGGUGAGUAACACGUGGGUAACCUCCCAUCAGAGGGGAUAACACUUGGAAACAGGUGCUAAACCGAUAUUGGUGGAUGGACCCGGGGUGCAUUAGCUAGUUGGUGAGGUAACGGCUCGGCAAGGCCACGAUGCAUAGCCCAGCCGCGAGGGUUAUCGGGCACACUGGGACUGAGACACGGCCCAGACUCCUACGGGAGUCAGGAGUAGGGAAUCGUCGGCUAUGGACGAAAGGCUGACCGAGCAACGCCGCGUGAGUGAAGAAGGUUUUCGGAUCUUAAAACUCUGUUGUUAUAGAAGCGGUAUCUAACCAGAAAGCCACGGCUAACUACGUGCCAGCAGCCGCGGUAAUUC
rnacentral:rRNA from 1 species